GUAUUGGAAGGGCUCGUCGCCAGU
rnacentral:piRNA from 1 species